GCGCCCUUAACUGGGCUUGUUAAAUUCUCAAUGUGGAACGUGAAAUCGGGAGCUGUAUUACUUCGCGCGCAUUCUGGAAGACGAGAAGGUAUGCUUAGCCAUACCAAUCUUGAGAUGUAUGCUGGUACCAUUCUUGGAAGAAAAAGAAAAAGAAAAGAUUGUGGGUCAUGAAGCCAUGUUGUGUACUUUGUUUGGUUGCUCUCCAAAUGGAAAAUUGAAUAGCCAAUUGGAAUGGUGACCCUUAAAACAUCCAUGUGCACCUUUGGACCACCUUCUCCUCUACACUAAUUCUAUUAGCUCCCCUAACCCUACCUUUUCUUUUCUUUUUUCUUCCAAUAACUCUGUAUCGAGACCCUAUUCUUCUAGUCUUUUUUAGCCUUCGGAGAGCAUUUGCGUACCUCGAGGCUUGCUCUAAUUCAAGAGACAACAAGAGUUUUACGCUAAAUAUACGAGUUUUUGAUUUGUAGACUUAAA